GCAAAACUCCAUCUCAAAAAAAAAAAGUAACUAUAAUAAUGUUAACAGCAAUAAUUACUAUAAACAUUAUAGCUAAUCAUCUCAGCAAUCUUUUGAGAAAAGUACUAUUAUACCCAAUUUACAGAUGGAAAAAGUAAAGCAAAGGGAGUUUGUGGCCUGCCAGUGGUUCUGCAGCUGAAAGUAGUGGAACCAGGAAUUGAAUCUAGGCCUUCUGGCUCCAGGUGAUGCUCUUAAGCACUAUGCCAUACUGCCUGAACUGUUUCUAACGCUUUCUUUAGGCAGUCACACAUACACACACCACAGCGCCUCCCAUUGGUUCCCGAAUCCUAAGUAGUUGUCCAAGUUCAAUGUCAUAUUCUCCCAUAUCUCCUCUUUCCUCGUUCAUCAUCUUUUCUUAAGCAAGUCUAAUCUCGGGGGUUACUUAAAAUUCUGUGGUUCCCACCCAGACUACUAAAGUCUGGAUCAUCUUAUAUUGGUCUUAGCACUUAGAAGUGUGCCUAAUACAGUCUCAGCUUCCCCAGGAGCAAGACCUCUGAGCCCGCCAAGAGCUGCCGCACAGGCCUCGGCAGCGAUGGCACAGAAGGACUACGCGCUAGAGAAAGAAAAGGUGAAGAAGUUCUUAACAAGAGUUCUACCAGGAUGAUGAACUUGGGAAGAAGCAGUUCAAGUAUGGGAACCAGUUGGUUUGGCUGGCUCAUCGGGAACAAGUGGCUCAGUAUGUGGACCUGGACGACGUAGCCGAGGAUGACCCGGAGUUGGUGGACUCAAUUUGUGAGAAUGCCAGGCGCUACGCAAAGCUCUUUGCUGAUUCCGUACAAGAGCUGCUGCCUCAGUACAAGGAGAGGGAAGUGGUAAAUAAAGAUGUUCUGGACGUUUACAUUGAGCAUCGGCUGAUGAUGGAGCAGCGGAGUCGGGACCCUGGAACAGCCCGAAGCCCCCAGAACCAGUACCCUGCUGAACUCAUGCACAGAUUUGAGCUGUAUUUUCAAGGCCCAAGCAGCAACAAGCCUCGUGUGAUCCGGGAAGUGCGGGCUGACUCUGUGGGGAAAUUGGUGACUGUGCGUGGAAUCGUCACUCGUGUCUCUGAAGUCAAACCCAAGAUGGUAGUGGCCACUUACACUUGUGACCAGUGUGGGGCAGAGACCUACCAGCCGAUCCAGUCUCCAGCUUUCAUGCCUCUGAUCAUGUGCCCAAGCCAGGAGUGCCAAGCCAACCGCUCAGGAGGGCGGCUGUAUCUGCAGACACGGGGCUCCAAAUCCAUCAAAUUCCAGGAGAUGAAGAUGCAAGAACAUAGUGAUCAAGUGCCCGUGGGAAAUAUCCCUCAUAGUAUCACAGUGCUGGUAGAAGGAGAGAACACAAGGAUUGCCCAGCCUGGAGACCACGUCAGUGUCACUGGUAUCUUUUUGCCAAUCCUGCGCACUGGGUUCCGACAGGUGGUACAGGGUUUACUCUCAGAAACCUACCUGGAAGCCCAUCGGAUUGUGAAGAUGAACAAGAGUGAGGAUGAUGAAUCUGGGGCUGGAGAGCUCAGCAGGGAGGAGCUAAGGCAGAUUGCAGAGGAGGAUUUUUACGAAAAGCUGGCAGCUUCAAUCGCCCCAGAAAUAUAUGGGCACGAAGAUGUGAAGAAGGCACUGCUGCUCCUGCUAGUGGGGGGUGUGGACCAGUCUCCUCGAGGCAUGAAAAUCUGGGGCAACAUCAACAUCUGUCUCAUGGGGGAUCCUGGUGUGGCCAAGUCUCAACUCCUGUCGUACAUUGAUCGGCUGGCCCCCCGCAGCCAGUACACAAUAGGCCGGGGCUCCUCGGGAGUGGGGCUUACAGCAGCUGUGCUGAGAGACUCCGUGAGUGGAGAACUGACUUUAGAGGGUGGGGCUCUUGUGCUGGCUGACCAGGGCGUGUGCUGCAUUGAUGAGUUCGACAAAAUGGCUGAGGCCAACCGCACAGCCAUCCACGAGGUCACGGAGCAGCAGACCAUCUCCAUUGCCAAGGCCGGCAUCCUCACUACACUCAGUGCCCGCUGCUCCAUCCUGGCUGCCGCCAACUCUGCCUAUGGACGCUACAACCCCCGCCGCAGCCUGGAGCAGAACAUACAGCUGCCUGCCGCGCUGCUCUCCUGGUUUGACCUCCUCUGGCUGAUUCAGGACCGGCCUGACCGAGACAAUGACCUACGGUUGGCCCAGCACAUCACCUAUGUGCACCAGCACAGCCGGCAGCCCCCCUCCCAGUUUGAACCUCUGGACAUGAAGCUCAUGAGGCGGAAGCAGCCCACGGUGCCAGAGUCUCUGGCUGACUACAUCACGGCAGCGUAUGUGGAGAUGAGGCGAGAGGCUUGGGCUAGUAAGUAUGCCACCUAUACUUCUGCUCGGACUCUGCUGGCUAUCCUGCGCCUUUCCACUGCUCUGGCGCUUCUGCGAAUGGUGGACAUAGUGGAGAAGGAAGAUGUGAAUGAAGCCAUCAGGCUAAUGGAGAUGUCAAAGGACUCUCUUCUGGGAGACAAGGGGCAGACAGCUAGGACUGAGAGACCAGCAGAUGUGAUAUUUGCCACUGUCCGUGAACUGGUCUCAGGGGGCCAAAGCGUCCGGUUCUCUGAGGCAGAGCAGCGCUGCGUAUCUCGUGGCUUUACACCCGCCCAGUUCCAGGCGGCUCUGGAUGAAUACGAGGAGCUCAACGUCUGGCAGGUCAUUGCUUCCCGGACACGGAUCACUUUUGUCUGAUUCCAGUGUGCUUGCAAGCCUGGGGUCCUCUUGUUCCCUGCUGGCCCGCCCCUUGGGAAGGGGCAGUUGAUGCCCUUGAGGGGAAGGAGGAGCCCCUCUUUCUCCUAUGCUGCACUUAAUUCUUUCUGCUAAUAAAGUGUUUGUAGCUUGCCAAAAAAAAAAAAA